CUGAGGGAGGAGAGCCCCGCCGCCGCCGCCGCCCGGCAGCGGCCACAAAGAUGCGUUAGAAACAUCCCCCCGGCAAGACGAAGAGCAAGGGGAGCGGAGCCGCAGGAGCCAAAGUAACGGUUUCGGAGCCGGGCGCGGCCCCCCCGCCCCGCGGCCCCGCGCCCCGGCGCUGCCCGGGGCCCGCCCGACCUGCCCGCACCUCGGCCGGCGCGACCCUCCCUCCUCCCCGGGGACCCCGGCAGAGCCCUCCGGGAGCACCGACAUUUUGAGUGCUGUGUGGUGGGGCAGGCUGUGCUGAGAGCCGGGAAUUUCAGCACUUUAGUCAGGAGAUAAUAAUGUCUGGCUGCUUCUGGCUGCCCAGUGAAUUCCCAGGUACAUUUGUGGAAGAAAACCUUUUCUUUCUUUUAGAAGAUGAAAAGUGGUAGUUUUCUCCUGUGUUAACUCUUUCUUCAUGUGAGCAAUGCAAUGGCAUUUCCUAGGGAGCUAAUAUCUUACCCCACCAUGGAAUAAACCAUUGAUUCCAUUCCUCUCCCCACACUGAAAGCUGGAAAGAAAGUAUUUUUUCUGUACUUAAAUGUGCUGUGGCUUAUUGCACUGGAGACUGAGGAAAAUUCACCUUCAAAUACCAUCUCAUUCACUCUCCCCCUGCUAAGGGCAGAGCAGUGCCAGGGUUAGCCCUGCACCUCUGCCCCUCUCUCCCAGCACCCACAGAUCGAGUAUUUCACCCCCUCACGGUGCUGCUGCCACAGAUGAAACUCUCUUCGUUCCCUGUAGGAUCCCUUUAGGAUCUGCCCCUUUCCAAAAGGAGCUCAGCAGCCCCCGCCGUUGUUCCGAGGAUAAUUUAGAAACAAAGGUCAAGUGUAACAGCUUUGCUCAUCCGUGUAACUGAAAUAGGGGAGAGGGCUGUUGCCCCACAGCUGUGUCCUCACACAGCCUGGUCACUGGGAAUCCUGGUACAGCUACAUUUAAUGCUCCAUUCCUUCACUUUUUUUCUGUGCUUGCUGUAUUUGUUUCUAUUUAUACCUCUCCUCUCGAUACUGCACUCUUUGCUGCCGAUUCCUGGGCUGCUACAGGGUGAUCUCUGCUCCUGCCUGGAGACUUACUUGGCAGUUGGUUUAUGUCUCAAUAAAAGCUCUCAAAAAUCUUCAAUUCAACCUCACACGCUGCAGUUUUGCAUCUCUGGGUGAAUGUGUUUGUCGACGUUUUCAGGAAUAUGCGAGUUCUUGAAACUGGAGUUUUUGAUGUUGCCAAAAUACUGGGGGGAAAGCGCCAAAGCAAUUUCUGUAACCACAUGCGAUAUUGCAAUCCUUUUUAGGUGUCAAGAUUCUCUAUUAAUGAGACUUGCUUUAUAUUAUUUUCUCCUCUCUCGGUAAAUACAAAGAUUUCUGGAGGAAAGCCAUUCCCCAGCAACCGGGCACCUUUUGUCACUGCCAAACCCCGUAAGGUGCGUGUAACCCACCCGCUGCCUGCUUGCUUCGGUUUCCCAGAGGCUCUCUGCAGUAACUAUUAACUUCCUGGGAUAAUAGAGAGCAAUUUUUUGCCUUCCAAGUAUCUAACUAGGAAUUUCAAUUGAUCAUCUUGUUGAGGGGCUCACAGAGAAAACGCAGCAGUGAAAUCAGAUAAAACACACCUUUAAAGCAGCCUAUCAGCCGUGACUCAGCCGCCGAGGCUUUGGGCAUGGCCGGGGGGUGAUUCGUCCCGGCUUUAACCCUGAACUCCUGGCACGCAAUAAACGCCGCUAUUUCUGACUAGGCGGGGCAUUUUUCUCGGAAGAGAAGUUGUUCUUAUUAAGCCACUGCUUAAACUUUACCUUAGCGUAAAUUAAAUGCUGAUGAAGCUCCAAACGGGUUUGGAAUGAGGGGUUUUUUUAGUAGCACGGGUGAAAAAAACAAAACAAAACAAAACAAAAAAAGAAACGUGAGAAAGCUGGAUAUUACCUUCUGGUGUAGCACGGAAUUCCUCUUUGUAAGAGGAAGGGAGAAGGAAAAGGCUUGGAGCAUCCUCCAGGACACGAGGAAAGGAAGAUGGAGAGCAACACAGAGCGAUUUGAGUCACUUCACCUCAGGGACCUGUGGAUUAUGUUGCUCGGUUUAGUAUUUCAAGGGGUUUAGUGCUCUUUCUACCGGGAAUUUUGGGGUUAUUUCCCCAAAAAUGCUUCUUACGUGCUGUGCUGCUCCGAUUAAUGAUCAUGGCACAAUUUUUCAUAUUUCACAGAGGUUUUUAAUCAGAACACAGCAGUGUGACAGAGCUUAUAGUAAAUAUGACAGACAGUUUCAGCAAAUUUUUUUUUACUUGAAAAUGUAGUAACUGAUUUUGUGGGGCUAAUUAAAAAAAAAAGUUAAAAACUAAACUAAUAUAUUCCCUCUCCUCUUUUAAGUGCUAUUUAAAGUAGUAUUCAUUUUGCAUUGAUUUAAAACCUUCUAUUUUGCACGGCUGAAAUGUAGACUAUUCAAAAUGAAGCACUUUAAACUGCCCAUCUGCCCAAUAAGUAGAUCCUGUACAAAUGUUAAAAGUUUCAUAAUAGACUCUUCCCGACACGGUACUGAGCAUCGUUAGCUCCUGUUGGGGCUGGAGAGGCAAAUGAGUUUCAGUCUGGUGAAUACUCUCAACUCUCUGUUGCAAUAGAAAAUUUCCAAUGGUUAAAUUGUGUUUUAGGUGCAAGCAAUAACUUAACUUCACAAAUAUCAAAAGUGCUGCUUCCUAAAUGUCACCGUAUUCAGAUGUUCUUGUUUUGUGAGAUGCUGUCAUUAAAAUAGUUUAUUUCCAGACAAAACAGAAUAGCUGGUGGAAAGCAAAUAUUACUUAGAGAACAUCUAGGCUGCAAUCAGCAGAUGAAGCGACCAGAAGUGCUGUAUUGCAGCUUUCGUGUCCUCUUUGACAAUGGUUCUCUGCUGCUUGUUUUGAAACUAGAAAAAAAAACGUCGUCUGCAGUGCACAGUAAACACGAACUACUAAACUGAGCUGUUUAAAACCUCUGGCAAUCGAAGAAACACCACUUAUACUGUUUCUGGUAACUAAAUUCAAAACCAGAUUGGUGAAAGUUUAAAUACACAAAGAGGAAAAGUGUCAUCUACAUUUAGAAAGUAAGUGACCUAGUUCUACAAGCUCUUGUUAGUGACAAAAUACAGUUACUGCCUAAAGCAUCUAAGCGCCAUCCACUGUCCUCAGGCCACGCAGCCUUUGACUUCCAGCUCUGCCUGUGCAGGGGCUGCAGGUGACCCCUUAUCAAAGGAUGUUUUUAUCUAAAGCAGGACCUCAGACUCUUGAGCCUGACGGAAAGGGGUGGGGGGAGUGAGGAGAAGGGAGGGGUGCAUUGAGAGGUGGGAGAAAUCACAGUAAACUAUUUCCUUUUCUUAAAAGUCCAGCAAUAUUAAGCAAGUGAAGAGUAGCUCUUGUAUUAAUGACUUGAUACGAAUGACCUAAAAUAAAUUGUAAAAGUUGAUACUGGAAAACUAGAUAUGAGCAACCAACAUACACACGGACGAGCCUGGGAGUACUGUGUAAAGUGAAAGGUAUAGGAAACUGCUGGGAGCAUGGAUUUAAAACGUUUCCAUUGCCUAAAAAAACCACCUCUGGAAUUUCUUGAGACUUACACUACCAGCUGUUCAGAAGGAGAAAAAAAAAAAAAAAAA